rnacentral:rRNA from 10 species
AGAGUUUGAUCAUGGCUCAGAUUGAACGCUGGCGGCAGGCCUAACACAUGCAAGUCGAACGGUAACAGGAAGCAGCUUGCUGCUUUGCUGACGAGUGGCGGACGGGUGAGUAAUGUCUGGGAAACUGCCUGAUGGAGGGGGAUAACUACUGGAAACGGUGGCUAAUACCGCAUAACGUCGCAAGACCAAAGAGGGGGACCUUCGGGCCUCUUGCCAUCAGAUGUGCCCAGAUGGGAUUAGCUUGUUGGUGAGGUAACGGCUCACCAAGGCGACGAUCCCUAGCUGGUCUGAGAGGAUGACCAGCCACACUGGAACUGAGACACGGUCCAGACUCCUACGGGAGGCAGCAGUGGGGAAUAUUGCACAAUGGGCGCAAGCCUGAUGCAGCCAUGCCGCGUGUAUGAAGAAGGCCUUCGGGUUGUAAAGUACUUUCAGCGGGGAGGAAGGUGUUGUGGUUAAUAACCGCAGCAAUUGACGUUACCCGCAGAAGAAGCACCGGCUAACUCCGUGCCAGCAGCCGCGGUAAUACGGAGGGUGCAAGCGUUAAUCGGAAUUACUGGGCGUAAAGCGCACGCAGGCGGUCUGUCAAGUCGGAUGUGAAAUCCCCGGGCUCAACCUGGGAACUGCAUUCGAAACUGGCAGGCUUGAGUCUUGUAGAGGGGGGUAGAAUUCCAGGUGUAGCGGUGAAAUGCGUAGAGAUCUGGAGGAAUACCGGUGGCGAAGGCGGCCCCCUGGACAAAGACUGACGCUCAGGUGCGAAAGCGUGGGGAGCAAACAGGAUUAGAUACCCUGGUAGUCCACGCCGUAAACGAUGUCUACUUGGAGGUUGUGCCCUUGAGGCGUGGCUUCCGGAGCUAACGCGUUAAGUAGACCGCCUGGGGAGUACGGCCGCAAGGUUAAAACUCAAAUGAAUUGACGGGGGCCCGCACAAGCGGUGGAGCAUGUGGUUUAAUUCGAUGCAACGCGAAGAACCUUACCUGGUCUUGACAUCCACGGAAGAAUUCAGAGAUGGAUUUGUGCCUUCGGGAACCGUGAGACAGGUGCUGCAUGGCUGUCGUCAGCUCGUGUUGUGAAAUGUUGGGUUAAGUCCCGCAACGAGCGCAACCCUUAUCCUUUGUUGCCAGCGGUCCGGCCGGGAACUCAAAGGAGACUGCCAGUGAUAAACUGGAGGAAGGUGGGGAUGACGUCAAGUCAUCAUGGCCCUUACGACCAGGGCUACACACGUGCUACAAUGGCGCAUACAAAGAGAAGCGACCUCGCGAGAGCAAGCGGACCUCAUAAAGUGCGUCGUAGUCCGGAUUGGAGUCUGCAACUCGACUCCAUGAAGUCGGAAUCGCUAGUAAUCGUGGAUCAGAAUGCCACGGUGAAUACGUUCCCGGGCCUUGUACACACCGCCCGUCACACCAUGGGAGUGGGUUGCAAAAGAAGUAGGUAGCUUAACCUUCGGGAGGGCGCUUACCACUUUGUGAUUCAUGACUGGGGUGAAGUCGUAACAAGGUAACCGUAGGGGAACCUGCGGUUG